AGCGAACGCUGGCGGCAGGCUUAACACAUGCAAGUCGAGCGGGCGUAGCAAUACGACAGCGGCAGACGGGUGAGUAACGCGUGGGAACGUACCUUUUGGUUCGGAACAACUGAGGGAAACUUCAGCUAAUACCGGAUAAGCCCUUACGGGGAAAGAUUUAUCGCCGAAAGAUCGGCCCGCGUCUGAUUAGCUAGUUGGUGAGGUAACGGCUCACCAAGGCGACGAUCAGUAGCUGGUCUGAGAGGAUGAUCAGCCACAUUGGGACUGAGACACGGCCCAAACUCCUACGGGAGGCAGCAGUGGGGAAUAUUGGACAAUGGGCGAAAGCCUGAUCCAGCCAUGCCGCGUGAGUGAUGAAGGCCCUAGGGUUGUAAAGCUCUUUUGUGCGGGAGGAUAAUGACGGUACCGCAAGAAUAAGCCCCGGCUAACUUCGUGCCAGCAGCCGCGGUAAU
rnacentral:rRNA from 1 species